rnacentral:lncRNA from 1 species
ACAGCGAUUUUAAUUUGAAAGCAAUUUUAUGUGAGUGAAAGAUAGGGGAAGGGAACCCCGGAGAGAAGAGCCGCAGGGCAGAAGUCAUGCAGCCCCAGCACCUCACCUCCGCAGGCCGGCCAUCUCCCCUCAAUCAGGCCAGGACACUCAGCGUCCCAGGCUCUGCGGGAGGUGGGGAAGUGUGAGACGGGACUCUGGCCAGGAGACAGUGACAGGGUCCCCUCCUUCCAGAGAAGCCCCCAUCUGCCAGGCUGGGUUAGAGGAAGGCCUGGCAGAGCUUUCCUCCCAUGUCCAUCAGUUUGGGGGGCCUGCCCCCCAAUAUCCAUCUCUGCGGGAGUUCUCUUUCCAUUCUUCAGAUGGGGAUGCCGAGUGAGGCAAGACGAGCAGCAAGGACCUGGGAGCAAGGACGGGGCUUUGUGCUGGGGGAGGAGAGGCCACUCCAGGCUGGAGUUCUGAAAGCGCCCCCAGACCAUGGCAGAGCCAGACAAACUCGGAGACUCGAGGCCGCCGCAGGGAGAGGCCCACCAGUGGUCUGGGUCCCUCUGACUUGGGACCUCAAGCAAACCCUUACAGGGUUUAGGGACAGCAGGUCUGUAUGCGGGCUCAGGCCAGCUGGUGGGGAGCCUCAAGCAUCUCCAUGAGGAAGGUGUCGAUGGGGGUGUCACCGAUGAGCUUGAAGAAAAACAGAUGCUCUAGACACUUAAGGCCUAUGGACCUGAGAGCGGGAAGACGAAGCAGCAGCUUGGCAAACCUGAGGGCGGGGGAGACGCGGAGUCAGG